UACGUAGGGUGCGAGCGUUGUCCGGAAUUAUUGGGCGUAAAGAGCUCGUAGGCGGCUUGUCGCGUCGGAUGUGAAAGCCCGGGGCUUAACUCCGGGUCUGCAUUCGAUACGGGCAGGCUAGAGUGUGGUAGGGGAGAUCGGAAUUCCUGGUGUAGCGGUGAAAUGCGCAGAUAUCAGGAGGAACACCGGUGGCGAAGGCGGAUCUCUGGGCCUGUACUGACGCUGAGGAGCGAAAGCGUGGGGAGCGAACAGG
rnacentral:rRNA from 1 species